GUGUUCUCCUAGCCUGGGCCUUGGCAUCUGCUCUCUCUCUCCCCAGAGACAAGGUAAUGGGGCCUGGGAACAUGUCCUUCUAAAGUGCCUAUACAUACCCUCCAUUAAGAGUCAGUCGUCAGGUAGUUACUAUUCUACCAUCAUUUUCUUUUUGCAUGAGAUUUACUAUAGGUCAAACCUAACAACUGGAGCACAUUUACUAAAAUAAGAUGAGAUUUACUAUAGGUCAAACCUAACAACUGGAGCACAUUUACUAAAAUAAGAUGAGAUUUACUAUAGGUCAAACCUAACAACUGGAGCACAUUUACUAAAAUAAGAUGAGAUUUACUAUAGGUCAAACCUAACAACUGGAGCACAUUUACUAAAAUAAGAUGAGAUUUACUAUAGGUCAAACCUAACAACUGGAGCACAUUUACUAAAAUAAGAUGAGAUUUACUAUAGGUCAAACCUAACAACUGGAGCACAUUUACUAAAAUAAGAUGAGAU